ACAGUGCGCCGUUUCCUCUCGUCGAGUAGCUCUGUUCUCAACUUCAUCAAAAACCAUCACUCGUUCUCUCAUCAAAAGACCAUGGCUCUCUCAUGAAAACACCAUCCGUCAUCAAAACACAUGCAUCUCGAUUAGGUCUAUCUCUGAGAAGCCAUGCCAACCCAUUCCCUCUCUCAUCUCCCCUCAGCUGCAAACCAAAUAGGAAGCCGCUUGGAGGUUUGAUUCUAAGCAAAAUCACCAACUCAUUCGAGACCCCUCAUACUCCACCGCACUCUGAAGCUUGUCUCUGACCUGGUGUCGAGACAGCCCACCUCUCUGGCCUCACCUUCGCCUUCGUUCACUCCAAUUCAGUGAGUGACCUUUCAGAGAUAGAUUCAGACUCUCCACUAUUUCUAUCGCUAAAGCCGAAGCGAAGAGAAGCAGCUUUUUUGGGCUAUGGAGCCUCGCGUAGGGGGACGAUUCCGAGUCGGCCGGAAGAACAGUAGUGGAUCCUUUGGAGAGAUCUACUUAGGUGCGUUGCUCACUCCUUCUUUUUGCUUUCUUGCUUUUCAUUAUUGCUAACUCAUGUUCUGGUUUAGUAUCUUGAUCGAUCUGUUUGGUUUGAUUCUGACGAGCAACAUUGGGAUUCCAAAUUCUCCGAUCGGAAUCUCCACCAGAAAGUCCACAAGCUCCUCGAAUUGGCACCGUUUCGGAACCCCAGUUGGGGAGGGCUAGUUUCUGGUGAUGUAAAGCUCAUGGUGGUGGCCAAGGACGGGUUUUGUUAACUGGUACCCAAUUCUUGAUGUAGUUCUUCGUGCCAUUUAAGCUCUUUCUGUUAUUGAUGGUCAUUCCCAGCACAUCUGUUUAGACAAGGAUCUCUUUUAGCUGGUUUGUGCCUUGCUCAAGUUCCCUGAUAAAGUUGAGGUUCCAAAUUCUUGUGUUACAGCUGUAGUUCUAGUUGCAAAUAUUCUUUCAGAUGUACCUACUCUAGCUUCAGAGUUAUCACAAGAUAUGCUUUUCUUACAGGGUCUGCUUGAUGUGUUUGCCUUUACUUCAAAUGACUCAGAAGUCAGAAGCGAGGAGUGCACUGUGGAACAUCAUUGCAAGGUUACUGGUUCGAGUUCCAGAAAAGGAAAUGAGCUCCUAAACUCUCGAGCAGUAUGUUUUGGUUCUAGUUAGCAAAUCUAAUGUGAUUGAAGAUGAUCUUCUUGACUGCCAGUAUUAGUGCUCAGAAUGGUGAUCGUGGCUUUUUCAUUUUUUUUCAGUCUUUAAUCAAUUCUUGCAUUUUUCGUUGUCCAAAGUUGUGUUAUUGUUUACUGUAAUUCUUUUGGUAGAUUUUGUUUUUUUUUUGUUUUUUGGUUUUCUGAAGAAAUAGUUUUAAUUUCUGGGUUCUUAAUUUUUUUUCAGUUUUUAUUUUAGGUGAGUGGCGAUUAUUGCUUGUGAAAUACUGUGAUAUCCCGCACCUGAUUUUGAUUUAUUGUCUUUGAGUUAGAUCUUUUAUUGUGAUAUUUUUCUCUAUUUAGGACUCCUGUUGUAGUGUGUGUGUGUAUAAUGAUUGAUAUGUUUUGGGUGGUUAUUAGAUAAUUGUUUUAUUUUAUUUUAGUGUUAUUUUGUUCUCUUUUAUUCUGGGAAGAUAAGAAGGGAGCGGCCAACUAAAGAGAGGGGAAGGGGACGGGAAAGAAGAGGGAAAACAGGGAGAAGAAGAAGAAAGAGAAAAGGAGAAGAAGAAGGGGGAGACUGAUCGAAUAAAAAGAAAGAGAACAGAGAGGAAGGAAGAGAAAAUAAAGAGAAGAGAGGGAGGAGGAGAAAAGCAAGGCAAUCAGGAGAAAGAAGAAGAAGAAGAGAAAAGAGGGAGCACGGGGAAGAGAGAGAAAAUAAGGAAAAGAAAAGGAAGAAGAGAGAGAUGAAAAGAGGAAAAAGAAGGAAAACAGAAGGGAGGGGAGCACGACUAUUUGAAAAAAAGAAAGAAGAACGAGAAGUAGAAAGGGGGAGAUGGAGAGGGAAUGAGGAGAGAAUUGGAGAGGUUGGGGCUUUACAUAAAGGCUGUGAUUGGGUAUUUCUAGAUUGGAGGAGAGUAAAGCUAUAGAAUGGUGGGAGUUUUGAUUUGGGUGUUAGAAGAAGAAGAAGAAGAAGGAGAUGAACGGAGGAGAAUGGGAGUUUGAUUUUGCUGCUCUUGAAACUGAACUGUGGUAAGGCAAAGGGAGGAAGAUUUCAGAAGUGAAGGGUUUCCAUUUGGGCUGUUCAGUAUAUAUGGUUGUUUUGCUAUAGAGGCCUGAAAUUAGAGUUGAGUUUUCAACUUACCAAAUCGUAGAUGUAGCUGUCAUUUGCAAUUCUGGAACACAGAAAGUUGUUAAGAACUGGUCCCUAUCCCAUUCUUGUGCAGCCUUGAAAUAAUUCAAUGCUGAAAAUGCUUUCUUGGGGAUCCUCUUCAACAAGGUUAUGGACUGGCUUUUUUGGCUGAGGUGUCUUUGGUUGGACAUUUGGACAGAAAUUGCAAACCACUCGCUUCAACUUUAAAGGUUUGACACCAUGGCUGCAUAGACAAAAGUUCCUGGAAUAGUGGGAAGACAAGAGUUUGUAUCAAUAUGUUAGCUAUUGAAACCAAGUUCGUGCACAAACUCUAUAUGUGGCAUGUUUUACGUAGUUGUAUCAACUUUUGGGAAAUGCUUUUAACAUUAAGAGAUAUAUGGAAUAGGUUUGAUUACUCA